GUCUACGGCCAUGCGACACUGAACACGCCUGAUCUUGGAAGCUAAGCAGGGUCAGGCCUGGUUAGUACUGGAAGGGAGACUGCCUGGGAAUACUGGGUGCUGUGGGCU
rnacentral:rRNA from 1 species